rnacentral:lncRNA from 1 species
UUAGAAGACAAUAUGGUAUCCUCUCAACGUACUCCAUUUGGGGACCUGACGAACAGCGGCAAUUCAGGUCAAUACAUAUAUCACCGACUCUUACCUACAUCGACCUUGUAUAUCUUGAGUAUUUCAUUGCCUCGCAGGUCAGAAAACACAUCCAAAAGAAUUGAAGAGAUAAGGGAAAGGGAGAGGUAUGCGUUAAACAGGGAUGCAAUACUUAAAAAAAAAGAAAGGAGGCAAGGGAUCGUAAGAAAGCUAGAUGUGCUCUUGUAAAUGGAAACAACACCCCAUCUAAGCCAC